rnacentral:rRNA from 1 species
GUUGUAUGGUUAAGUGACUAAGCGUACACGGUGGAUGCCUUGGCAGUCAGAGGCGAUGAAAGACGUAGUAACUUGCGAUAAGCCCAGAUUAGGUAGUAACAACCAUUUGAGUCUGGGAUUUCUGAAUGGGGAAACCCACGUGCAUAAGCACGUAUCCUUACCUGAAUACAUAGGGUAAGGAGGCGAACCGGGGGAACUGAAACAUCUAAGUACCCCGAGGAAAAGAAAUCAACCGAGAUUCCGAAAGUAGCGGCGAGCGAAAUUGGACUAGCCCUUAAGCUUUACACGCGUUAGACGAACGGUCUGGAAAGUCCGACGAUACAGGGUGAUAGUCCCGUAGUUGACGACGUGUGUUCAGUGAAAUCGAGUAGGGCGGGACACGUGAUAUCCUGUCUGAAUAUGGGGGGACCAUCC